rnacentral:rRNA from 1 species
CCAAUAGCGUAUAUUAAAGUUGUUGCAGUUAAAGAGCUCGUAGUUGAAUUUCGGGAUUGGCGCAUCGGUCGUGCCUCACGGGGUAUGAACUGGUGCAGUCAAUUUCUCACCUUCUGGAGAACCGCGAUGUCCUUAAUUGGAUGCCGCGGGGAACCAGGACCUUUACUUUGAAAAAAUUAGAGUGUUUAAAGCAGGCAUUUUUGCUUGAAUACAUUAGCAUGGAAUAAUAAAAUAGGACGGCAUGGUUCUAUUUUGUUGGUUUCUAGGACCACCGUAAUGAUUAAUAGGGAUAGUUGGGGGCAUUAGUAUUCAACUGUCAGAGGUGAAAUUCUUGGAUUUAUUGAAGACUAACUACUGCGAAAGCAUUUGCCAAGGAUGUUUUCAUUAAUCAAGAACGAAAGUUAGGGGAUCGAAGACGAUCAGAUACCGUCGUAGUCUUAACCAUAAACUAUGCCGACUAGGAAUCAGACGAUGUUAAUUUUUUAAUGACUCGUUUGGCACCUUACG